AGCAGCCGCGGUAAUUCCAGCUCCAAUAGCGUAUAUUAAAGUUGUUGCAGUUAAAAAGCUCGUAGUUGAAUUUCGGGAUCAGUAUGUUGGUCGUGCUUCGGUACGUACUGUCAUUACUGGUUUCUCCCUUCUGAAGAACCUUGAUGUCAUUAAUUUGGUGUCUUGGGGAAUCAGGACUGUUACUUUGAAAAAAUUAGAGUGUUUAAAGCAAGCAUACGCUUGAAUACAUUAGCAUGGAAUAAUGAAAUAGGACGUUUGAUUCUAUUUUGUUGGUUUCUAGGAUCGACGUAAUGAUUAAUAGGGAUAGUUGGGGGCAUUAGUAUUCAAUUGUCAGAGGUGAAAUUCUUGGAUUUAUUGAAGACUAACUACUGCGAAAGCAUUUGCCAAGGAUGUUUUCAUUAAUCAAGAACGAAAGUUAGGGGAUCGAAGACGAUCAGAUACCGUCGUAGUCUUAACCAUAAACUAUGCCGACUAGGGAUCGGAUGAUGUUAUUUUUAAUGACUCAUUCGGCGCCU
rnacentral:rRNA from 1 species